rnacentral:rRNA from 1 species
UACGGAGGGGGCUAGCGUUGUUCGGAAUUACUGGGCGUAAAGGGCGCGUAGGCGGCGUCGUAAGUCAGGCGUGAAAGGCCCGGGCUCAACCCGGGAACUGCGCUUGAUACUGCGGCGCUCGAGUCCGGGAGAGGAUGGCGGAAUUCCCAGUGUAGAGGUGAAAUUCGUAGAUAUUGGGAAGAACUCCGGUGGCGAAGGCGACCAUCUGGACCGGUACUGACGCUAAUGCGCCAAAGCUUGGUGAGCAAACAGG